CCUACGGGGGGCAGCAGUGAGGAAUAUUGGUCAAUGGCCGCAGGGCUGAACCAGCCAAGUCGCGUGAGGGAUGACGGUCCUAUGGAUUAUAAACCUCUUUUGUCAGGGAGCAAAGGGCGCCACGUGUGGCGCUUUGCGAGUACCUGAAGAAAAAGCAUCGGCUAACUCCGUGCCAGCAGCCGCGGUAAUACGGAGGAUGCGAGCGUUAUCCGGAUUUAUUGGGUUUAAAGGGUGCGCAGGCGGAAUGUCAAGUCAGCGGUAAAAUUUCGGGGCUCAACCCCGUCGUGCCGUUGAAACUGGCGUUCUUGAGUGAGCGAGAAGUAUGCGGAAUGCGUGGUGUAGUGGUGAAAUGCAUAGAUAUCACGCAGAACUCCGAUUGCGAAGGCAGCAUACCGGCGCUCAACUGACGCUCAUGCACGAAAGCGUGGGUAUCGAACAGGAUUAGAUACCCGAGUAGUC
rnacentral:rRNA from 1 species